UACGGAGGGUGCGAGCGUUGUCCGGAAUCAUUGGGCGUAAAGGGCGCGUAGGUGGCCCGGUCAGUUCGUGGUGAAAGCGCGGGGCUCAACCCUGCGUCGGCCAUGAAUACUGCCGCGGCUGGAGCACUGUAGAGGCAGGCGGAAUUCCGGGUGUAGCGGUGGAAUGCGUAGAGAUCCGGAAGAACACCGGUGGCGAAGGCAGGUUCUGGGCUGACACUGACGCUCAUGCACGAAAGCGUGGGGAGCAAACAGG
rnacentral:rRNA from 1 species